rnacentral:rRNA from 1 species
AUACGUAGGGUGCAAGCGUUAAUCGGAAUUACUGGGCGUAAAGCGUGCGCAGGCGGUUUUGUAAGACAGUGGUGAAAUCCCCGGGCUCCACCUGGGGACUGCCAUUGUGACUGCAAGGCUGGAGUGCGGCAGAGGGGGAUGGAAUUCCGCGUGUAGCAGUGAAAUGCGUAGAUAUGCGGAGGAACACCGAUGGCGAAGGCAAUCCCCUGGGCCUGCACUGACGCUCAUGCACGAAAGCGUGGGGAGCAAACAGGAUUAGAUACCCUGGUAGUCCACGCCCUAAACGAUGUCAACUGGUUGUUGGGGAUUUAUUUUCUCAGUAACGAAGCUAACGCGUGAAGUUGACCGCCUGGGGAGUACGGCCGCAAGGUUAAAACUUAAAGGAAUUGACGGGG